UACGUAGGGUGCAAGCGUUAAUCGGAAUUACUGGGCGUAAAGCGUGCGCAGGCGGUUCUUUAAGUCUGUCGUGAAAUCCCCGGGCUUAACCUGGGAAUUGCGAUGGAGACUGCAAUGCUAGAAUCUGGCAGAGGGGGGUAGAAUUCCACGUGUAGCAGUGAAAUGCGUAGAGAUGUGGAGGAACACCGAUGGCGAAGGCAGCCCCCUGGGUCAAGAUUGACGCUCAUGCACGAAAGCGUGGGGAGCAAACAGG
rnacentral:rRNA from 1 species